AUCGUCCGCAAGACUUGAGAGUACUCAUGACACCAGUAUUUAGUAUCAGCAGAAACCAGUAGUACGCCACCCUCUACCUCCCACUGGGAACAUUACCACCACUACGGGCAUAAUAUCCACUGGCAGCAUCAUCACCAUCGAUCCAGAGUUAUCCUAGUGCUCAGAACAGCCCCGUACUUACACAAACUUCAAUCCCCGGCUGAUAACUUUAAAAACGGAUUUUAAUAAACCAUUACCGGAAGUUAUCAACGUGGCACGUAGCGAUCGUACAUUUAACCAAAAAAAUUCAUUAACGGGCACUUGGGUAUCACUAUCACCCACAUGGGGAAUCAAUUUCAAAUCAAUCUGACACUUAGUUUAUACACAGGGUCAAUUUUUCCAAUUUCGAUGACUACCUUUUCGGAAGGGGUCCAAUUUCAAAUGGUUGAAUUGUCAAUUUUUAUAUUAAUUGAUGAUAUUUAGUGAGUCGGAAGUGGAUUUUUGGAUGAAAGAGAGUAGAUUAAGACGAGUGGAUUGUUAAUAUCUGUCACGGGGGUGAUAAUAGGGUGAAUAGCGUCCCUGUUGUCCCGACGCAUGUGCAGACACACCUUUUAUUUCUACGGUCUAUGUGUUGCUUUAUGUAUUGGAUGAUCCUGGGGUAUUUAUGUUGAUAUUAAGCUGAGGUAUUUUCUCAUAUAGGUCAUGUUAUUUUAAAUUCAUUGUUUUUUAUUCAAGUAAUCAGAAAAAAAAAAAAUUUUAUUAUUUUUGUGAUAUGAGUGGAAAUUUCGGAUGAAAUUGGAUUUAGGCAGUCAAGAUAUUGAGAACACAGUGAUGUGGGUACUCAAACUACAGGAAAUCGGUGUGAAGGUAUCAAUGAAAGUCUUAUAAUAUUUUAUAAUUUUUUAUUAAUUAUGACAUACAAUAAAUAAAUAAUUAAUAUUUGUUGAAUUAAAAAGCCGUAAAUUUUUUUUUGUUUUAAUAUUUUUAAUUAAGAUGACGAUGAAUUUAAUGUUCGUUACUGUUACUGUAAUUAUAGUGUAAUAAUAAUAAUUAUAAUGUAAUAAUAAUAGUAAUAAUAAUAAUAAUAAUAAUUAUAGUAAUA